GAUUGGACUCUUAUUUUCCCUCCCAAUAAGAAGUAAUUAAUUUUCGACUCUCUCUAAUUAAGCCCACUUCUCCCUCCCUCCCAAUUACUUCCCUCAAUUGGACUCUCUCAAUAGAUCCCUUACUCACGCCGUUCCUCCUUCGCACCCUCGUCCUUCACUAGUUCGCUUCCGCCGUCCCUCCCUCCUGCGUCCCUCGCUCUCUCAGUCAUCCUCACUCUGUCGACCUCGCAAUUGGUUCACUCAUGCAAUGGAAUUCGCUGCGUGAAAGUUACUCCAUCAAUGAAGUUACGAAACUAGUUCUUGGUCGUGACUCGUACCACCACCAUGGAUGAGAACUCAAAGGUCUUCGUAGUCCGGCCUCCCUGGUUGCUCCAUCAACGGGGACACUCCUUAACUCCAAUCUCCCAAAAUACAUGGGUGCAGUUUAGAAGAAUGGUGAUGGUGGGAGGACAGAGAAGGAGAUGGUAAUAGGUGAAGAGGAUAGAGGUGAUUGAUUUGACAAGGUCAAAGAAGGUAGGGAGACAUGAUGGUGGUGGUGGUGAUGCUCCAGUUGAUCCGAAAUGGGGCGACUCCUCCAGUUGAUCCGUCCUUAUCACUAUCAUUCAGUUCAAUUACGCAUCCUCCAAUUGCAGUUCCUCAUUCAGGAGGUUUCGGCUUUGCAGCUUUGCAGCCAGGUGAAAAGCGAGAUUUAGAAUUCCCGAGAGUGGGUUGGGGGUACUUGGAAAGAACUAAGAGAACGGGGAGAGGUUGCAGCAUCCAUGUUGUUUGAGUUUGUGAAAGAGGGAAGAUGUAGAAAUGAUGGUAGAGACAAUCAUUUGCAAACUCUUGUUGACGUUCAUCUUGAGUGUGAUAUGGGAAAAGAUUAUUCUUGUGGGGCUAAAGAAUGUUCUAGUGUUAUGCAUAUACAUAAAGCAUUCAAGAAGGCAAAUGAUUCAGCAUUAAUUGAUCUCUCCAAAGAUGACUUCCUUUCACAGUUAAAAUGGAAACCUUCAUGUAAAAGGAGGCGUAGUAGUGGGUUUGUCGUUCAGAAGCUGCAGCGUCGUAGGAGCUAUGGGAUCAACUCUGAAUCAACAGUGUCUCAUGAAAACCAUUAAAAGUUCCUAAUUCGUUCCACGUUGAAAGUUGAGAGAGGGCGUCACAAGUCUGCUAAGGUUGAUCAUGACAACUGCAAGUUCAUAACUGACUCUCUUUUCAGCCCAUCUGUAGUGUCGCCUUUAACCAGUCUGGUUAUGUCCAGAUGAUAGUUUCCUUGCUAAGCUUGGGAAGCAUAAUAUGGGCGAUUAGGUCAUAGCUUUUUUUCUUUGGCGUGCAUCCUCGUGCAGUAUUGCAUCAUUAUGAUGCUCCCCUUGACUACAAAAGUGACAGGGAAGCGGGCUGUCAUCCCUGAAGAUGAUGCAGUGAACGAGUUCUCUCUCCACCUUGUAUUAACUCUUAUAACAAGGCCCCACUGGUGCGAAUGGGCUGGAACUGAUGGGCAGCAGGUUUUCAGUAAGAUUUAGAAUAACAGAUACUGGUUCAGGUUGGUAGGAUGUUAGAUUUAUUAUUUAUUUAGAAUAACAGAUAGUGGAGACUGAUCUUCUUUUUUUUUACUUUAUUUAUUUUGCUUAGGUUUCUUGUAGUUUCUGUAUAUCAGUGUAGCAAUAAAGAUCACAUCACUUCUUGUAUAAAAAAAAAACAGCAACAACAACUUUUUUUUUUUAUUAAAAAUUAUAUGUCAAGUGCUCCGGUUGUUAGAAAAAACCGGAGCACUUAAUUCACAAGUGCUCCGGUUUUCUCUUAACAACCGGAGCACUUAAUGUAUUUUGAAUAUAAAAAAUUCACAAGUGCUCCGAUUUUUAAGACAACCGGAGCACUUGUAAAUUUAAGUGCUUCGGUUUUCAACCGGAGCACUUGAAAAAUGUUCAAGUGCUCGUAUGGGGUCUGCUACGGGUGAAAUACGGAGCACUUGUAGCGUUUUUAACCGGAGCACUUGAUGUUUUUUCCAUAAGUGAAAGCAUGACCAAGUCCAACGACAAUUUUGAAGCUUGUGUACCACAAAGGUACACACACAAACACACAAACAAACACACACACACACACAAUGUGUGUGUGUGUGUGUGUAUAUAUAUAAUAAUAAUACAUACGAAAAUUUAUAUAAAUUACAUAAACUAAAUCGAACUAAAUAACAAUACAUAUGAAAAUGGAAAAAAAAAAUAAUCUAACUAAAAAACGUAAAUUACAUAAACUAAACGAAAAUUAUAAAAAAAAAAAUGAACUAGAUCUAAAUAAAAAUAUAAA